ACAACGGAAUGUGUCUCUAAGACCUUCUGUAUGGAUACACGUGUGCUUAAAAACAGCCCCGCCUGUGCGUAUAGCACUUGCUGUGUCAACGCUUUACAGGAGCUAUUGCACUUAAGCCUCAGAACAACUUUAUGAGGAUGCAGACUUACAAGUGGAUUUUCCAGUAGGAUCUUCAUAGCCAGCCUAUUUUUCUUUGUUUUAGGCUUAUUUCUAACAGCCUUGUUUAUGUGUAUUAUUAUUCUAUCCUGGAUUGGAAUCAGAAAAUUGGACAGUGUUGUAGGUACUGAUUGAUGUAGGCAUGCUGAUAGCCGCAAAAGUGAAAAUUGGUAUUUCCAUAAGAAAAGACAGUACAUGUUCCUACAGAGAUCUGUACAUGAAUAUUCAUAGUAGCUUUAUUUUUAACAGUCUCCAAUUUGAAACAACUCAAAUGUCACCAACAGAUAAAUGGUUAAAUAAAUUGUGAUAU